rnacentral:rRNA from 1 species
AGCUUGCUCUUGAUGACGAGUGGCGCACGGGUGAGUAACGCGUAUGCAAUCUACCUAUAACUGAGGAAUAGCCCAGAGAAAUUUGGAUUAAUACUUCAUAAUAUUAUUAUUUGGCAUCAUUUAAUAAUUAAAACUCCGGUGGUUAUAGAUGAGCAUGCGUUCUAUUAGCUAGUUGGUGAGGUAAGAGCUCACCAAGGCUACGAUAGAUAGGGGGCCUGAAAGGGUGAUCCCCCACACUGGUACUGAGACACGGACCAGACUCCUACGGGAGGCAGCAGUGAGGAAUAUUGCACAAUGGAGGAAACUCUGAUGCAGCCAUGCCGCGUGCAGGAUGAAGGCCCUAUGGGUUGUAAACUGCUUUUUACAAGAAGAAACCUUGGUACGUGUACCAACUUGACGGUAUUGUAAGAAUAAGCACCGGCUAACUCCGUGCCAGCAGCCGCGGUAAUACGGAGGGUGCAAGCGUUAUCCGGAUUUAUUAGGUUUAAAGGGUUCGCAGGCGGAAUUUUAAGUCAGUGGUGAAAGCCUACAGCUCAACUGUAGAACUGCCAUUGAAACUGAUAUUCUUGA